rnacentral:lncRNA from 1 species
UUCAUUUAAUGAGUGCUCUUUUGGAGAGAGAUUUCUUUUAAAGUGCAUGCAGGAAAACGUAUAAUUGUUACUAUAAGUUGAUGUAUAAAUUGUUGGCUAUUUUGGAGAUGCAGUUAGGUUGGGCUUUUAAAGUAACAAUGUUUACAGAGAUUUUACCUCUUAAGAAUUAAUAAAUACAUCUAUGUCUAAGUUGUAGGUUAAACAUAUAUUUUUUCCCAUUCUAAUUUUGACAAAAUACAAUGUAAUAUACAUGUUAGAAAUCAAUUUUCUAAGUUCUAAUGAAACUUCAAAAUUUUCAUCUACAGAGAGAGAAGUUUGAGCAGAAGUUUGAGCAGCCAACUGCCAGUUCCAUUUUUCUAGGACCCUCCCUAGCAAGGCAAUGUGGAGAUAAGCAUUUCUCCUCCCAGCAAGUUCAGCUCCUUGAUGAAGGCCGAGGCAGCCCUGCCAGCUCCAGAUCUCGGCAGCUGCAGUUGCGG